rnacentral:rRNA from 1 species
UGAUACGGAGGGAGCAAGCGUUGCUCGGAAUAAUUGGGCGUAAAGGGUGCGUAGGCGGUUUUUUAAGUGAGAUGUUAAAGCCUUGGACUUAAUCUAAGUAAUGCAUUUUAGACUGAAAGACUUGAGUGUGGGAGAGGAAACAGGAAUUCCUCAAGUAGAGGUGAAAUUCGUAGAUAUGAGGAGGAACACCAGAGGCGAAGGCGAGUUUCUGGAACACUACUGACGCUGAGGCACGAAAGCGUGGGGAGCAAACAGGAUUAGAUACCCUGGUAGUCCACGCCCUAAACGAUGAUUGCUAAACGUUGGAGAUAUUAAAUUUUCAGUGUUAAAGCUAACGCGAUAAGCAAUCCGCCUGAGGAGUACGGUCGCAAGACUAAAACUCAAAGGAAUUGACGGGGACCCGCACAAGCGGUGGAGCAUAUGGUUUAAUUCGAUAAUCCGCGAAAAACCUUACCAGCUCUUGACAUGAAGGUCGUAGUCCUAUGAGAGUAGGAUGUCGGGUGAUGCCGGACCUGCACAGGUGGUGCAUGGCUGUCGUCAGCUCGUGUCGUGAGAUUUUGGGUUAAGUCCGUUAACGGGCGCAACCCCUGUCUCUAAUUACUAACGAGUAAUGUUGAGAACUAUAGAGAAACUGCCAGUGAUAAACUGGAGGAAGGUGGGGAUGACGUCAAGUCAUCAUGCCCCUUAUGAGCUGGGCUACACAUGUGCUACAAUGGCGGUUACAAUGGGUCGCAAAGAGGUAACUCUGAGCCAAUCCUAAAAGACCGUCUCAGUUCGGAUUGUCCUCUGCAACUCGAGGACAUGAAGUUGGAAUCGCUAGUAAUCGCUGAUCAGCACGCAGCGGUGAAUACGUUCACGGGUCUUGUACACACCGCCCGUCAAGCCAUGGGAAUUGGUUUCACCCAAAGAUAAUGAGCUAACUUUU